rnacentral:lncRNA from 1 species
AGAAGCGGUGACAGGCACAUGGCGUACACUGGGAACAGAUGGUUCCGCAGCAGCCAGCCCCAGCCUGAAAUGAGUUCCGGAGGCACUGCUGCCUGUCUCCACCAGCAAGAGGGAGGAGAGGCCCUUCCCGUGCCUGCAGCAGUCCAGGGUAGAUGCAAGCAGAAAGACUGGUGAAGACUGGAGCUCCUGGGCAGAAGCACUGACAGGCACGUGGGGUCCUG